rnacentral:rRNA from 1 species
UACGGAGGUGGCAAGCGUUGUCCGGAUUUAUUGGGUUUAAAGGGUGCGUCGGUGGUCUAUUAAGUCAGUGCUGAAAUAUCCCGGCUUAACCGGGAGGGUGGCAUUGAUACUGAUGGACUUGAGUGAAGUCGAGGUAGGCGGAAUUGACGGUGUAGCGGUGAAAUACUUAGAUAUCGUCAAGAACACCUAUUGCGAAGGCAGCUAACUAAGCUUUAACUGACGCUGAGGCACGAAAGUGUGGGGAUCAAACAGG